GGGAGCCAACCAAAUUGGUGGGGAGGGGCGGUCCAGAAUGGGAGAGAGAAGACCCACUUACAGGGAAGUGCCGCAGGCAGGUCUUAAUAAACCCCUGGAGAUUGAAUCUUACCUAGAGAGCGGGCCAGCUGUCUGCUAGAAGGACAAUGGUCGUGACCCGCAGGUUGCUGGUUCAGGUGAAGUUAAUGAUAUUUGGCGGGUUCUGAGGGAAGCUGGACUCACAGGAAGAUUUUGGACCACUUCCAUUUAACAUGAAGAGGUAUAAUGAGGCUGAGAUCCAAAUCUAUAAUUGAACUUCUUAUGUUUCAUCUCUACCUUACAGCUUAACUUGAAGGUAUCUUUGAGUAUCUGUAGAGUCCCUAUGAGAAAUCCCAUAGCAAAGACUGUGGGAUCUUCCUUCUGACCCCAGAAGAUCUUGUUAAGUCUACAGACUUCAACAGAAUUGGAGAACCUGAACAGAGCAGAGUUACCAACAAGAGAGCCCAGGGAUAGCAUUAACAUGGUGGCCACCCAAGACCCUCCUCAGCCAGUGAGACAUGGCAAGGCCUGUGAGGUCCCCAUUGAAGACCCCACUGGCCGGGGCACCUGGCACCCAAUGGUGGGGCUGAAGCUGUGAAAGGCUCAGCUAAUGUCGCACCCAGGCAAGCCGACUGACAUUGGACCAACGCGUCACAUUGUUGUGAGUGAAGGUCUGGAGAAGAGAUCGCCGUGGGACCGCCCACGAGACAGAUCCAUGACAUUGGACUGCCAUGGCCUAUUUGGUCGCGAGUGAAGCUCUGGAGAGGAGAUCACCGUGGGACCACCCGCCCCACGAGACAGAUCCGAGAAGAGACAUUUGGUGUCGAUGCAAGAGCCAGCUUGAAUCCACCUGUACAGGUCAGAUCCACUUCAGAUAAGUAUCAUUCAAAUUUUCCUGGUCCUGGGACCCCCUUCCUCACCCCAAGACCCCUCAGGGACCCCCCCAAGGUAAAAUUUUUUUCUAAACUUCCUCUUCUGCCUUGCUAGCACCUUGUCAGAUCCAAACAGUCAGAUCCAAGCAGCAAUGGACAAUUCCACAGAGCCUGAAGCAGCAGAAGAUGAUGGAGAAUUCCUAAAGCAGUGGAAAACAAUCUACUACCUCAGGACAUCUGGCUACCUCAAAAGUCCCCUUUCCUACUCCCCAAAGUUAACCAAUGCCCAAUUGGUGCCUAGCCCAACUGUCAUCAGAGAGACUUCAUCCAGCAACUGAUGGAAACAGAUACAGAGACCCAAAGUCAAAUAUUUGGUGGAGCUUGGGGAUCCUGAGGAAGAAGGUAGAAAGAAUUAUAGGAGCCAGAGGGAUCUAAGACAUCACAAGAAAACCCACAGAAUCAACUACUCUGGGGUCAUAUGGGCU